rnacentral:rRNA from 1 species
GAUGAACGCUGGCGGCGUGCCUAAUACAUGCAAGUCGAGCGAACAGACGAGGAGCUUGCUCCUCUGACGUUAGCGGCGGACGGGUGAGUAACACGUGGAUAACCUACCUAUAAGACUGGGAUAACUUCGGGAAACCGGAGCUAAUACCGGAUAAUAUAUUGAACCGCAUGGUUCAAUAGUGAAAGACGGUUUUGCUGUCACUUAUAGAUGGAUCCGCGCCGCAUUAGCUAGUUGGUAAGGUAACGGCUUACCAAGGCAACGAUGCGUAGCCGACCUGAGAGGGGGAUCGGCCACACUGGAACUGAGACACGGUCCAGACUCCUACGGGAGGCAGCAGUAGGGAAUCUUCCGCAAUGGGCGGAAGCUUGACGGAGCAACGCCGCGUGAGUGAUGAAGGUCUUCGGAUCGUAAAACUCUGUUAUUAGGGAAGAACAAAUGUGUAAGUAACUAUGCACGUCUUGACGGUACCUAAUCAGAAAGCCACGGCUAACUACGUG